UUCAACAUGCAGCUGUAUUGCUCACGCUACCCUUGACUUGUCAGUACCUGGUGAUGCCACAUUUUUCGGCUCAGCCCUUUCCGAGAUAUGAGCAAUUCUAAUGGGGGCAGCGUUUGUUUACAUUUUUAAAAAAUGAAACAUAGGCCAACUCCAAAUAUUUUCCCAAAAGGUACUGCUGUUUGCUAGUUGUCUGCUGAUGUUUUAUAACCUUUUGGAUGUUUUUGGGAAUAAAAAAAAUGUUUUUUUGAAAUGUAAACAAAGAGCUGCCCCCAUUACAAUGACCAGGAUCUCGGAAACGGCUGAAGAAGAAGAAAAAAAAAUCUCAGGCACUGACAAGUCCAGGGUAGUGUGAGCAUUACAGCUGCAUGUUGAAAUUGACCAAACUGUCCCUUUAAGGCAGGCUUACAGGCCGAACACAAAGAGCCGCCUAGUACACCCUUGAUGACGUAUCCGGCCAGAUGGUAUAGCACACAGGACUCCGCUUUUGUGGAAAUGAUUCUGCUCCUACUGCAUGAGACUGCUGCUGUUGAUGGGGAAGUGCUUUUGCCAGAAAUGGCUUAGUUGCAGGUGGUGGCUUUCUUGAGUUGCACUGAUAAGGUUGAUGCUUUCAAUGCAUUGGAAGUUCCAGCAUGUUCCAGUGAAUUCCAAUUCUUCAUGCAUUAUUGAUUUCACACACACACACACACACACACACACACACACACACACACACACACACACGUCUUGUCAUGUACACAGACAUGCCGUUUUAUUCAUAGUUAUUUUGUUUGGGCUGUUUAUGUUUCUAUUUGGAGUAUUUUUUUUUAUUUCAAAUAAAAGAUUGAACCAUUCAAGCACAGGUUGUACAGCUGUGGGUUAUUUACUUCAUGUUCAUUGCAUCAUGUUCAUGUUCAUUUGCAUCCUGCAUUGAGUGGUUUGACAGGUCUGAUGAUGACCAGCAUCAUAAAGGCUGAAAUUAACAAAUGCUAUAUUACUGUAGGCCUACAACUGGGACAUGCUGGGUUUAUGUAUUUAUCUUUUUAUGUAUUGGAAGUAUUUUAUCCAUUAAAAUAUCCUACUGCAAAUCUGCUGAAUCCAAAACAAAUAGACAUUAUCAAGGGCUACGGACAAUUAGCAUCUCAAUGGUAAGUAAUGGAGCUUCCUAGCUAAGAUGACGUUUCCCUCCCAAAGUGUAACUGCAAUGAUAUUACCGUAUUACGGUACUGACACUUCAAUGUUUUUAUAUGACAAUGAAGGCCAUAAAAUGGCCUACAAAAAACAAAACGAACUCGUUCUUUUGGGGGCGGCAUAAUCUGAUAUAAUUACCGUUAAAGGACGCUCUCGCUCAAUGAAAUGUAUUGACAGCUCCCGGUGUAUAGGACCCUUCUGCGGUGGGCGUAGACUACGCAAACCACGUGACCACUCGUCGGCAAAGAUCAAAGGAUGCUCCAACUCUUUUCUCUAC